rnacentral:rRNA from 1 species
ACGAACGCUGGCGGCGUGCUUAACACAUGCAAGUCGAACGGAAAGGCCCUGCUUGCAGGGUACUCGAGUGGCGAACGGGGGAGUAACACGUGGGUGAUCUGCCCUGCACUUCGGGAUAAGCCUGGGAAACUGGGUCUAAUACCGGAUAGGAGCCAUUUUUAGUGUGAUGGGUGGAAAGUUUUUUCGGUGUAGGAUGAGCUCGCGGCCUAUAAGCUUGUUGGUGGGGUAAUGGCCUACCAAGGCGGCGACGGGUAGCCGGCCUGAGAGGGUGGACGGCCACAGUGGGACUGAGAUACGGCCCAGACUCCUACGGGAGGCAGCAGUGGGGAAUAUUGCACAAUGGGCGCAAGCCUGAUGCAGCGACGCCGCGUGGGGGAUGACGGCCUUCGGGUUGUAAACUCCUUUCGCUAGGGACGAAGCUUUUUGUGACGGUACCUAGAUAAGAAGCACCGGCUAACUACGUG